UACGUAGGGUGCAAGCGUUAAUCGGAAUUACUGGGCGUAAAGCGUGCGCAGGCGGUUAUGUAAGACCGGUGUGAAAUCCCCGGGCUUAACCUGGGAACUGCAUUUGUGACUGCAUAGCUAGAGUACGGUAGAGGGGGAUGGAAUUCCGCGUGUAGCAGUGAAAUGCGUAGAUAUGCGGAGGAACACCGAUGGCGAAGGCAAUCCCCUGGACCAGUACUGACGCUCAUGCACGAAAGCGUGGGGAGCAAACAGG
rnacentral:rRNA from 1 species